AGUGAACGCUGGCGGUAGGCCUAACACAUGCGAGUCGAACGGCAGCACAGUAAGAGCUUGCUCUUACGGGUGGCGAGUGGCGGACGGGUGAGGAAUACAUCGGAAUCUACUUUUUCGUGGGGGAUAACGUAGGGAAACUUACGCUAAUACCGCAUACGACCUACGGGUGAAAGCAGGGGAUCUUCGGACCUUGCGCGAUUGAAUGAGCCGAUGUCGGAUUAGCCAGUUGGCGGGGUAAAGGCCCACCAAGGCGACGAUCCGUAGCUGGUCUGAGAGGAUGAUCAGCCACACUGGAACUGAGACACGGUCCAGACUCCUACGGGAGGCAGCAGUGGGGAAUAUUGGACAAUGGGCGCAAGCCUGAUCCAGCCAUACCGCGUGGGUGAAGAAGGCCUUCGGGUUGUAAAGCCCUUUUGUUGGGAAAGAAAAGCAGCAGGUUAAUACCCCGCUGUUCUGACGGUACCCAAAGAAUAAGCACCGGCUAACUUCGUG
rnacentral:rRNA from 1 species